GUAUUUGAUUUAAAGGCACAAAGGCCAAUUAAUGACAUUCUAUUACAUUCUUAUGGGGUAUGUAAAAACAUAGACUUGGAUGCAAGGAAAGCGCUGACGCAAUUCCUCAAACCGAGUUUCCUCGAGAGGUAUCCAAGUCUACAAAAGGUGCACAGGUGGUUAAAAAUGGCGCUAGGCGUGCACAUGCUCCAAAGAGCCAGCAACAACCCAACCAAGUUUAUUCAAUAAUGAUCCUUCCGCAGGUUCACCUACGGAAA
rnacentral:misc_RNA from 1 species